AUUGAACGCUGGCGGCAGGCUUAACACAUGCAAGUCGAGCGGAGAUGAGGUGCUUGCACCUUAUCUUAGCGGCGGACGGGUGAGUAAUGCUUAGGAAUCUGCCUAUUAGUGGGGGACAACAUUCCGAAAGGAAUGCUAAUACCGCAUACGUCCUACGGGAGAAAGCAGGGGAUCUUCGGACCUUGCGCUAAUAGAUGAGCCUAAGUCGGAUUAGCUAGUUGGUGGGGUAAAGGCCUACCAAGGCGACGAUCUGUAGCGGGUCUGAGAGGAUGAUCCGGCACACUGGGACUGAGACACGGCCCAGACUGCUACUGGAGGCAGCAGUGGGGAAGAUUGGACAAUGGGGGGAACCCUGAUCCAGCCAUGCCGCGUGUGUGAAGAAGGCCUUAUGGUUGUAAAGCACUUUAAGCGAGGAGGAGGCUACUGAGACUAAUACUCUUGGAUAGUGGACGUUACUCGCAGAAUAAGCACCGGCUAACUCUGUGCCAGCAGCCGCAGUAAUAC
rnacentral:rRNA from 1 species